GUUCGUUUUACUUCUUUUCUUUUCUCUUUGUCCUUUCCUUCCUCCAUGCAUGAUUAGUUACAUUUGGUCAUUUCAGUAGCAGGUAACCAUUAAUUCACUCAUAAUUGUUUAACUUACAUCCUGACUCCCUGGCAGCUGCCUGCAAGAUAAAUGAACUUGUCUCUCUUUCAAAGAACAAUGAUCCUUAGGUCACACAGACCUCCUUGAUGACAUCCAGAAAUUUGAUGAGCCGAGGGGCACAACAGCUUUGACGAUCGGGAGGUCACCUCCUGCACACCUACUUUACUCAUAAAAGCCCCCACUAACGCUCAAAGUCAGGUCAGAUUUGAGAGUUUCUCUCUUCUGUCCCCUUGCUUUGGCUAAAUUAAAUAAUCCUAUCUCAGCUUCUAAGCACUGAGGUGUCAGUGUUUGGCUGACUACGCAUCGGGAGCUCAAACCUGGCCUUUGGGGUUCAACAACAGUGUCAUCUGACCUUGAAGAGCUCAUGAGAACUUGCCAUGAACAUUAACAUGCUGGGAGAUUUCACUGGAAAAUCUAGAUUUCCAUCGUCUCUUGAAAAAUCAGAAGAUCAGGCCGGGUGCGGUGACUCAUGCCUGUAAUCCUAAUGCUUUGAGAGGUUGAAGCAGGAGGAUUGCUUGAGGCCAGGAGUUCAAGACCAGCCUGGCAACAUAGCAAGACCCAUUUCUACAACAAAUUAAAAAGUUAGCUGGGCAUGGUGGCAUGCACCUGUGAUCCUAGCUACUUUGGAGGUGGGAGGAUUGCUUGAACCCGGGAGAUCAAGGCUGCAGUGAGCUGAGAUCGCGCCACUGCACUCCAGCCUGGGUGAUGACAGUGCGAGACCCUGUCUCAUAAAAAGGGAA
rnacentral:lncRNA from 10 species